GUGUAUUAGUAUCAUAGUUUACUGUAUCAUCUACUCCCAGGAACGUCUUUCACUUUUACCAUUUGAUCACUGUUUUGAUGUGCAAAAGUUGUAUACUUUCACAUAUACACAAAUAAUUCGGAAUUUGAUAUAUUUUUUCAGUUUCUAGUGUAGUGUUGAAUGAAAAGGUGAAAUUGAUGACAUGCACCUUUCACUGUAAACUUUCACAUAUCAACAAAUAAUUUAGAUUUUGAUAAUUUUUCCGGUUCCUAGUGUAGUGUUGAAUGGAAAGGUGAAAUUGAUGGCAUGCAAGUGAUGUUAUGUUUACUUUCUUCCUUACCUUAUUCAUAAUUGGUAGCCUAGGAUUAAUGUAAAAUAUUUCCAGUUUACCUCAGUCUGCUUAGACCCAACUUUUGCAAGUUGAAGUUGAAUUAUGAUUGUUCCAGUACAAUUAAUAUGUAUUUUUUUUGUUAAAUGCCAUUCGUCUCUCAACCCAAAAGUUUGCUGAAGGAGGUUGCCCUUACAUAAUUAUAUACCUCAUGCCUAACAUGAACUUGUGUCAAAUUGCUCACAUUGCAGUCUUUAAUUUGACUCUGAAACUAUUUUAAAGAUAUGGAUCCUCUCCCACCCUUUCUCUCAUGUUUCCCUUCUCCUCCAAUCCUAGCCAUUACAUUACAAAAUGGAGGAAUGGCUAAACCAUAAAGCUCCAUACUCUAUUUUAAAUAUGUUUGAAUUUCAAUUCCAAAAACCAUACUCUAUUUUAAAUAUGUUUGAAUCUCAAUUCCAAAAACUAACUCGAGGAUGAGCUUGUCUUCAUAAUUAUCCAUUUCAGCUCCAAAGCUCCGAAACCUAAACAAUACAAGAUUUCAAACAAACUCCUAAAAUCAAAUAGAUAUUGAACCUUUUUUUCUUUCUUUUUCUUCUUUUGGUGGAUAAUACAAUGUAGGGGUGGACAAAGAUUACCGAUCCGUGUAUAUCCGCCCGACCCAAACUUAAUUUCACUCUCCGGGUCGGGUUACAUCGGAAUAUCGGGUCAAACGGAUGGUUGGUUCGGUUUUUAUUGGACUAUUUCGGUUCGGUUCGGAUGAAAAAUUUAGGUCCAUCGGUGACCGAACCCGACCGCUAUUUAUUAUUAUUUAUGUUAAUAUUAAUAUCAUUUAAGAGUCAGAUCUUGAUUCACAACUACAAACCCUAAUUUUUCUCUGUCUCUCACUUGGUCUUUCCUUUCUAUGUUUUCGCCGCCGCCGUAUAAACAUCGUCUCCCUCUUCUCAUCUCACCUUUGCCUCCCUGUUCUCAUCUCACCCUUGCCUCCCUGUUCUCAUCGCACCUUUGCCCAACGUCAUCUCAUCACCAAUCUUCGUUCACUGUGUUUUCUUAUAUUUCAAAAGUUUGAAAGAUGACUGAAGUUUUAAGAGAUUACAUGGCCUUGAAAAAGGAUCUCUUUUGUCUUUACAUGAUUUUAAGCAAAAUCUCAUCUUUUGUGAGUUUAAAGUUUGAGAUCUAUACUUUCUGUUAUGUGACUCCUGCUUUUACAUGAUAAAAAACAGCUAUGGUGAAAUGAUUAUCGUAUGGAUUCAGAUAAAAAACAGCAAUGGUGAAAUGAUUAUGGCACAUUAAAAUGAAUUUGCUUCAUACUACUCCAUUAGCAAGAUGCAACCUGUUUAAUGUGAUUAUCAACAAAAUAUGUUUAUGGAUUAUCAACAAAAUAUGUUUAUGGAUUAUGAAAAAGCAGCUUGGAAAUGGAAAGUUUUGUUGAAAAUGGAAGCUUGGAAGAAUUAUAAUUUCUUUAAAAAAAUGAAUUGUCCUUGGAUUGUUUUAAAUGUGUAAUAUGUUUCAACAAUAAUAUUGUAUUGGAUGAUGGACAAUAAUAUUGUUUAUGGAUGCUUAGAAGGAUUGACUAAAAUAUUCAAGAUACCUCCUUUGUACAAAUAAAUAAUUAGUACAUUUUUAUCCAAUUAAUGAUUAGUUUUUUAUUAAACCGACCUAGUUACCCGAACCGUUUCCACCCGAACCCGAAAAAACCCAAUGAUCAAUUUGGUCGGAAUUGGGCCUAUAUAUACCAUCCGAGGGUUGGGCCGGAUUGGGGUUUUGGGCCCGAACCCGAACCGGCCCGAACCGAUGUCCACCCCUAAUACAAUGUGUUUCUAACUAUUGUUAUUGUCUCAGCUGUACUUGAUUGUAAGCUAUGAGCAGCUCAACUAGACUACUAGAGUGUUUCAAUGUCGCAAUAAUGAUAGGCGACAUGUGAACAUUGUAGCCCCAUUUCCUCAUUAAAUAUUCUUGCGACGUUGUCAAAAAUUGUAGGAUCUAAAACUUAGAUGGGUCAUAUCCACCUUUCAUAAUGUUUGGAUUGCGAAACUUUGACACUUCACACUCUUGCAAGUCCUCUAAAUCUAAUUAGGCAUAAUUCAUUCACGAAUGCUACUUGUUCAUAAAUUUGGCAAUGCAGUAAAAUUAACAAAAACAAGAAGAUGAUGACAUUGAAUCACCAAGACAAAAAUCACAUUGACGAGAUUGCAAUAAUAAUAUUACAUAGAUAGAUCCAUCAUCACUUACACAAAUAAGACAUUGAUGCUAAACUACCAUACAACCUCUCUAAACUCACGCAUCAUACUCUUUAAUUCACUAGAAAAACAAACACCUCUCAAUCUAUAUCAUUAUUAUUACAUUACACCUCCGCGUUCUACAAACACGUUCAUUAUUAAUCAUAAAUAAAAUUUAAAAAACAAAACACAUCUCUCUCACAUUAUCAACAUG